rnacentral:misc_RNA from 1 species
AACCAUUCUCACCUGCGGCUAGACCUGCGGAGGGAUCAUUACUGAGUCACGUGCUCAAACAACCCUUCUGUGGACCUGAAAUAAAACCGUUGCCUCGGCGGGCGGUCCCCCCCAAACCAACCCCACGUGGUGGGUUAGGGGAGACCAGACAGUCCGGUACGCUUAAGGCGUCCGGCGCCAGCCGCUGGCCCCAAACAAUUAAACUCUAGUAAUCUUUACCUUCUGAGUUUCAAUAUUUAA